rnacentral:rRNA from 1 species
AGUGAACGCUGGCGGCAGGCCUAACACAUGCAAGUCGAGCGGCAGCGCGUCCGACCACCCUCGGGUGGUCGGAUGGCGGCGAGCGGCGGACGGGUGAGGAAUGCAUCGGAAUCUGCCUCGUUGUGGGGGAUAACGUAGGGAAACUUACGCUAAUACCGCGUACGACCUACGGGUGAAAGUGGGGGACCUUCGGGCCUCACGCGAUGAGAUGAGCCGAUGCCGGAUUAGCUAGUUGGCGGGGUAAAGGCCCACCAAGGCGACGAUCCGUAGCUGGUCUGAGAGGAUGAUCAGCCACACUGGAACUGAGACACGGCCCAGACUCCUACGGGAGGCAGCAGUGGGGAAUUUUGGACAAUGGGCGCAAGCCUGAUCCAGCAAUGCCGCGUGAGUGAAGAAGGCCUCGGUUGUAAGGACUCUUCUAGUCGAGAAGAAAAAGACUAGCAGUGAAUAACUAGUAGUUCAUGACGGUAUACGACAGAAGAAGC